rnacentral:rRNA from 1 species
AUUGAACGCUGGCGGCAGGCUUAACACAUGCAAGUCGAGCGGGGGAAGGUAGCUUGCUACCGGACCUAGCGGCGGACGGGUGAGUAAUGCUUAGGAAUCUGCCUAUUAGUGGGGGACAACAUCUCGAAAGGGAUGCUAAUACCGCAUACGUCCUACGGGAGAAAGCAGGGGAUCUUCGGACCUUGCGCUAAUAGAUGAGCCUAAGUCGGAUUAGCUAGUUGGUGGGGUAAAGGCCUACCAGGGCGACGAUCUGUAGCGGGUCUGAGAGGAUGAUCCGCCAGACUGGGGCUGAGACCCGGCCCAGACUCCUACGGAAGGCAGCAGUGGGGAAUAUUGGACAAUGGGGGGAACCCUGAUCCAGCCAUGCCGCGUGUGUGAAGAAGGCCUUAUGGUUGUAAAGCACUUUAAGCGAGGAGGAGGCUACUUUAGUUAAUACCUAGAGAUAGUGGACGUUACUCGCAGAAUAAGCACCGGCUAACUCUGUGCCAGCCGCCGCGGUAA